rnacentral:rRNA from 1 species
CUCCUACGGGAGGCAGCAGUGGGGAAUCUUGGUCAAUGGGCGCAAGCCUGAACCAGCGACGCCGCGUGAGUGAUGAAGGCCUUCGGGUUGUAAAGCUCUGUGGGGAGAGACGAAAAAGGUCUGAGCAAAUAGGUCAGGCCCUUGACGGUAUCUCCUUAGCAAGCACCGGCUAACUCUGUGCCAGCAGCCGCGGUAAGACAGAGGGUGCAAACGUUGCUCGGAAUUACUGGGCGUAAAGCGCGUGUAGGCUGACUGAUAAGUCAGGUGUGAAAUCCCUGGGCUCAACCUAGGAACUGCACUUGAAACUGCCAGUCUUGAGUGGUGGAGAGGGUCGUGGAAUUCCUGGUGUAGAGGUGAAAUUCGUAGAUAUCAGGAGGAACACCGGUGGCGAAGGCGGCGACCUGGACACUUACUGACGCUGAGACGCGAAAGCGUGGGGAGCAAACAGGAUUAGAUACCCUGGUAGUCCACGCCGUAAACGAUGAGUGCUAGGUGUCGUGGGUAUUGACCCCCGCGGUGCCGUAGCUAACGCAUUAAGC